rnacentral:tRNA from 1 species
AUAGAGUUACAUUAGUUGUUUACUUUAAAGUUAAAAGUUAUUAACUUUUUGGUAAUUUAAUGUUAAAUUAAUUAACUUUAUG